rnacentral:rRNA from 1 species
UACAGAGGGUGCAAACGUUGUUCGGAAUUACUGGGCGUAAAGCGUGUGUAGGCGGAUCGUUAAGUACCUUGUGAAAUCCCACGGCUCAACCGUGGAACUGCUUGGUAUACUGCCGGUCUUGAGCCAGCUAGGGGCUACCGGAACAAAUGGUGGAGCGGUGAAAUGCGUAGAUAUCAUUUGGAACGCCAAUGGUGAAAACAGGUAGCUGGGGCUGUGCUGACGCUGAGACACGAAAGCCAGGGGAGCAAACGGG